GACGAACGCUUGCGGCGUGCCUAAGAAAUGCAAGUCGAGCGGGGGAGCAAUCCCUAGCGGCGAACGGUCGCGUAACACGUAAGCAACCUGUCCGAAAGACCGGGACAACAGCUCGAAAGGGCUGCUAAUACCGGAUGUGUCCACUUUCUCUCAUGAGUUAGUGAGUAAAUCAUUUAUGGCUUUCGGAGGGGCUUGCGGCCUAUCAGCUAGAUGGCGGUGUAA
rnacentral:rRNA from 1 species